AUGGAUUUUAUUGAAGGUCUGCCAAUGUCAGAUGGCUACAAUGUCAUACUGGUCGUCGUGGACCACCUGACAAAGUACGCGCAUUUCAUUCCGUUAAAGCAUCCGUUCACUGCUGCAUCUGUUGCCAAAACCUUCCUGGAGAUGGUGGUUCGUUUGCAUGGUGUGCCAUUAUCCAUUCUGUCUGACCGUGAUCGCAUCUUCACCAGUAAUUUUUGGAGGGCUCUGCUCACAGCCGUUGGCAGCAAACUGAACUACAUUUCCCCGUACCACCCGCAGACAGAUGGACAAAGUGAAUGGGCGAAUCAAUGUGUGGAACAUUACUUACAUUGUGCUGUGCAAGAUCGUCGAGAACACUGA
rnacentral:rRNA from 1 species